rnacentral:rRNA from 1 species
AGGGUUCGAUUCUGGCUCAGGAUGAACGCUGGCGGCGUGCUUAACACAUGCAAGUCGAACGGGAUCCAUCAGGCUUUGCUUGGUGGUGAGAGUGGCGAACGGGUGAGUAAUGCGUGACCGACCUGCCCCAUACACCGGAAUAGCUCCUGGAAACGGGUGGUAAUGCCGGAUGCUCCAGUUGAUCGCAUGGUCUUCUGGGAAAGCUUUCGCGGUAUGGGAUGGGGUCGCGUCCUAUCAGCUUGACGGCGGGGUAACGGCCCACCGUGGCUUCGACGGGUAGCCGGCCUGAGAGGGCGACCGGCCACAUUGGGACUGAGAUACGGCCCAGACUCCUACGGGAGGCAGCAGUGGGGAAUAUUGCACAAUGGGCGCAAGCCUGAUGCAGCGACGCCGCGUGAGGGAUGGAGGCCUUCGGGUUGUAAACCUCUUUUAUCGGGGAGCAAGCGAGAGUGAGUUUACCCGUUGAAUAAGCACCGGCUAACUACGUGCCAGCAGCCGCGGUAAUACGUAGGGUGCAAGCGUUAUCCGGAAUUAUUGGGCGUAAAGGGCUCGUAGGCGGUUCGUCGCGUCCGGUGUGAAAGUCCAUCGCUUAACGGUGGAUCCGCGCCGGGUACGGGCGGGCUUGAGUGCGGUAGGGGAGACUGGAAUUCCCGGUGUAACGGUGGAAUGUGUAGAUAUCGGGAAGAACACCAAUGGCGAAGGCAGGUCUCUGGGCCGUUACUGACGCUGAGGAGCGAAAGCGUGGGGAGCGAACAGGAUUAGAUACCCUGGUAGUCCACGCCGUAAACGGUGGAUGCUGGAUGUGGGGCCCGUUCCACGGGUUCCGUGUCGGAGCUAA